AUCCAGCUGACGAGUCCCACAUAAGAUGAAACGCACGUACUGGAU
rfam:Schistosoma margrebowiei strain Zambia genome assembly, scaffold: SMRZ_scaffold0001899